rnacentral:misc_RNA from 1 species
UCGCGGCUUAUCACCGGCAGUCCCCUUAGAGUGCCCAACUGAAUGAUGGCAACUAAGGGCGAGGGUUGCGCUCGUUGCGGGACUUAACCCAACAUCUCACGGCACGAGCUGACGACAGCCAUGCACCACCUGCGCAGAAGUCCCUUGCGGGAGGUGCUCACUUUCGUGAGCAUUUCCUCUGCAUGUCAAACCCAGGUAAGGUUCUUCGCGUCGCAUCGAAUUAAACCACAUGCUCCACCGCUUGUGCGGGCCCCCGUCAAUUUCUUUGAGUUUUAAUCUUGCGACCGUACUUCCCAGGCGGCACGUUUAACGCGUUAGCUUCGCCACAAAAGGGGUCGAUUCCUUUUACAGCAAACGUGCACCGUUUACGGCUAGGACUAC